UGGGGAAUAUUGGGCAAUGGGCGAAAGCCUGACCCAGCGACGCCGUGUGGGUGAUGAAGGCCUUCGGGUUGUAAAACCCUGUCAGGUGGAAAGAAGGACUCAGAGACGAAUACUCUUUGAGUCUUGACGGUACCACCGAAGGAAGCACCGGCUAACUCCGUGCCAGCAGCCGCGGUAAUACGGAGGGUGAAAGCGUUGUUCGGAAUUGCUGGGCGUAAAGGGCGCGUAGGUGGUUGCGUAAGUCAGAUGUGAAAUCCUGAGGCUCAACCUCAGAACUGCAUCUGAUACUGCAUGACGAGAGUGCAGCAGAGGGAAGCGGAAUUCCUGGUGUAGAGGUGAAAUUCGUAGAUAUCAGGAGGAACACCGGUGGCGAAGGCGGUUUCCUGGGCUGACACUGACACUGAGGCGCGAAAGCGUGGGUAGCAAACA
rnacentral:rRNA from 1 species